AUGCUGAGGCAGGUUGUCACCAGAGAGGCAGUUAAGAAGCAGUGGACUUCGUGGCUGGGUUCCUCUCCUUUUGGAGAGGCAGAGUGGGCUCCCUCAGGAACCAGGCCAGCCCCCCAGCCAGCAGAGAUGAGCCUGCCAAGGGAAUGUGCUGACUGCGCAGGAACACUGGAGAAGCCACCCCCUCGCUCUGAGGACCGGCACUUUCUGGGGGGCCAGGACUCCUGGAGCCUCUAAUAGGAUGGCUUUAACAUUUUUCUUUUAGAAAGAAAUCUCCUCUUGUCCUAUCUUCCCUGGAGAUGGAAGAAAUCCUGGAAUCCUAGAAUCCUCCCAGUCCUCACUCCCUCUCAACAUUCAGUUCAGUCCAGUUCUAGCCAAUGAACAUUUAUGAAGCAUCUACCAAGUACAAUCUACAAAGACGAAAACCACUUGGAUUCCAGCUCCUUAGCAAGAGAUGUGAGGGGUAAGUAGGCGGGGAGCAGAGGGUUCGAGAGGGGAAGCACGGCCCCCGGGCAGGAGCUCAGAGCUAAGUGGUUUAGCUGCGACUGGGUAUGGGGAAAG
rnacentral:lncRNA from 1 species